CUUUCAGAAUUGAUUUUUCUCCAACUGAAAUGAUCGAAACUCUGGACGAGGUCUGUCAUUAUGUCACACAAAGCAGAGAGCCAUGGACCAAGCUUCAUGUGAUGCAGCAAUGCAGAGGGGAGGAGAGAUUUGAAAGAGGAAAUCUCAUGCCAAGGUCCCCACGCCACAAUGGAAUACUGACAAACAUACAGCUGGAUUCAGUCGGCUCACCUAUGUAUUUUUUUGCCCGGAGUUUUUAAGUGAAGAGAAACAACAAAAGAAAAUACAACAUUUCUCCCAGACACACAAGGACUAAACAUCAUUUCUCGACCAGUUCUACCCCUCCCUCUGUCAUGGCCAUGAAUGGAAAGCAUGUUUUCUAAUCCUUUAAUCAUUCUCAGGGGACUUCUUUGAACCCUCUUCAAUUUGUCAACAUCCUUCUUGAAUUGUGGGCACCAGGACUGGACACAGGAUUCCAGCAGCGAUCGCAUCAGAGCCAAAUAUAGAGAUAAAAUAAGCUCUUUUCACUGUGCGUUAAUUGUCUGGAGGGGAAGGCUGCAUGG